rnacentral:rRNA from 1 species
UACAGAGGUCUCAAGCGUUGUUCGGAUUCAUUGGGCGUAAAGGGCGCGUAGGUGGCGCGCUAAGUCAGGUGUGAAAUUUCGGAGCUUAACUCCGAAACUGCAUUUGAUACUGGCGUGCUUGAGGACUGGAGAGGAGACUGGAAUUCAUGGUGUAGCAGUGAAAUGCGUAGAGAUCAUGAGGAAGACCAGUGGCGAAGGCGGGUCUCUGGACAGUUCCUGACACUGAGGCACGAAGGCCAGGGGAGCAAACGGG